GUCCCGACGGUAAACGAUGGGCACUAGGUGUCGGAGGUAUCGACCCCUCCGGUGCCGCAGUUAACACAUUAAGUGCCCCGCCUGGGGAGUACGACCGCAAGGUUGAAACUCAAAGGAAUUGACGGGGCCCGCACAAGCGGUGGAGUAUGUGGUUUAAUUCGACGCAACGCGAAGAACCUUACCUGGGCUUGACAUGUAACGGACAUGGUUAGAGAUAACCACUCGUCUUCGGACGUCGUUGCACAGGUGCUGCAUGGCUGUCGU
rnacentral:rRNA from 1 species